rnacentral:rRNA from 1 species
GAUGAACGCUGGCGGCGUGCCUAAUACACGCAAGUCGAGCGAACGGACGAGAAGCUUGCUUCUCUGAUGUUAGCGGCGGACGGGUGAGUAACACGUGGAUAACCUACCUAUAAGACUGGGAUAACUUCGGGAAACCGGAGCUCAUACCGGAUGAUAUUUUGAACCGCAUGGUUCAAAAGUGAAAGACGGUCUUGCUGUAACUUAUAGAUGGAUCCGCGCUGCAUUAGCUAGUUGGGAAGGUAACGGCUUACCAAGGCAACGAUGCAUAGCCGACCUGAGAGGGUGAUGGGCCACACGGGAACUGGGACACGGUCCAGACUCCUACGGGAGGCAGCAGUAGGGAAUCUUCCGCAAUGGGCGAAAGCCUGACGGGGCAACGCCGCGGGGGUGAUGAAGGUCUUCGGAUCGUAAAACUCUGUUAUUAGGGAAGAACAUAUGUGUAAGUAACUGUGCACAUCGUGACGGUACCUAAUCAGAAAGCCACGGCUAACUACGUG